rnacentral:rRNA from 1 species
GAUGAACGCUGGCGGCGUGCCUAAUACAUGCAAGUCGAGCGAACAGACGAGGAGCUUUCUCUCCUGCCGUUAGCGGCGGACGGGUGAGUAACACGUGGAUAACCUACUUAUAAUACUGGGAUAAUAUCGGGAAACCGGAGCUAAUACCGGAUAAUAUAUCGAACCGCUUGGUUCAAUAGUGCUAGUCGGUUUUGCCGUCUCUUAUAGAUGGAUCCGCGCCGCCUUAGUUAGUUGGUAAGGUAACGGCUUACCAAGGCGACGAUGCGUAGCCGACCUGAGGGGGUGAUCGGCCACACUGGAACUGAGACACGGUCCAGACUCCUACGGGAGGCAGCAGUAGGGAAUCUUCCGCAAUGGGCGAAAGCCUGACGGAGCAAGACCGCGUGGGUGAUGAAGGUCUUCGGGUUGUAAAGCCCUGUUAUUGGGGAAGAACAAAUGUAUGUGUAUCGAUGGCCGUCUUGACGGUACCUAAUGAGAAAGCAACGGCUAACUUCGUG